CAGAGACUGCAAGCGUUAUUCGGAUUCACUGGGCGUAAAGGGUGCGCAGGCGGUUGGGUGUGUCAGAUGUGAAAUCCCGAGGCUUAACCUCGGAACUGCGUCUGAAACUACCCGACUAGAGUAUUGGAGAGGGUAACGGAAUUCACGGUGUAGCAGUGAAAUGCGUAGAUAUCGUGAGGAACACCAGAGGCGAAGGCGGUUACCUGGACAAUUACUGACGCUCAGGCACGAAAGCAUGGGGAGCAAAAGGGAUUAGAUACCCCUGUAGUCCAUGCCCUAAACGGUGCACACUAGGUCUUAGCGGAUUCGACCCCACUAGGGCCCAAGCUAACGCGUUAAGUGUGCCGCCUGAGGACUACGGUCGCAAGACUA
rnacentral:rRNA from 1 species